rnacentral:rRNA from 1 species
UACGUAGGGGCGAGCGUUGUCCGGAAUUACUGGGCGUAAAGAGCUCGUAGGUGGUUUGUCGCGUCGUCUGUGAAAUUCCGGGGCUUAACUUCGGGCGUGCAGGCGAUACGGGCAAUACUUGAGUGCUGUAGGGGAGACUGGAAUUCCUGGUGUAGCGGUGAAAUGCGUAGAUAUCGGGAGGAACAUCGGUGGCGAAGGCGGGUAACUGGACUGCAACUGACGCUGAGGCGCGAAAAGUGUGGGGAGCAAAACAGGAUUAGAUACCCUGGUAGUCCCU